CACGACCUCAGAGAAUUAAGGUAAACAAACAUAAUGUUCAUUCUGAUUGGAUUAUCUUUAUCUUUACUCAACUAAUGAUUAUUGAUGACUACGUCAAUUCAAUUUAGGAUGGAACCACAGUAAUACUUAAGUCUGCGAGUUAUCCAAAUAAGGCAAUUGUGGCUUAUGCAACCAUUUUGAGCUCUAAUCCAAAAGCAAAUGUUGGUGGAGUUGAGAUAGGAAAGCAAUUCUACAAAGUGCGUAUCAAUCAUCCUAUUAUACAAGAUGAGCCAUUAGUAAGGCCCACAAGUGGAUACAAGAAAAUUGGUGAUGCUCAUGCCAAAGGAGCACCGAUUGCUUGGCCUUUGAUUUGUGUUGAAAUGAUCAAUGGAUGAAUAUAUGUACUUGGAUAUACACACACGCAUGGACCGUGAAGACAAGAAUUUCAAGAAUAUUGUUUAUUUUUUGCAUUUCAUUUGCUGUAGCGCACAUUUGUAAACAUUUUCUCUUCUUAAUCAUAUCAUUGUGUAAAUAUACUUUACAUUAUGUGAACAAAGACUAUGUUACAUUCCUACAAUCAAUGCAACUUUCUGUUGCUACUGAAA